rnacentral:rRNA from 1 species
AUUGAACGCUGGCGGAAUGCUUUACACAUGCAAGUCGAGCGGCAGCGCGGGGCAACCUGGCGGCGAGCGGCGAACGGGUGAGUAACAUAUCGGAACGUACCCAGUCGUGGGGGAUAACUAUCCGAAAGGAUAGCUAAUACCGCAUACGACCUGAGGGUGAAAGGGGGGGAUCGCAAGACCUCUCGCGAUUGGAGCGGCCGAUAUCGGAUUAGCUAGUUGGUGAGGUAAAGGCUCACCAAGGCGACGAUCCGUAGCUGGUCUGAGAGGACGACCAGCCACACUGGAACUGAGACACGGUCCAGACUCCUACGGGAGGCAGCAGUGGGGAAUUUUGGACAAUGGGGGGCAACCCUGAUCCAGCCAUUCCGCGUGAGUGAAGAAGGCCUCGGUUGUAAG